rnacentral:rRNA from 1 species
CACGCCCUAAACGAUGUACACUAGUUGUUGUGAGGCUCGACCUUGCAGUAAUGCAGUUAACACAUUAAGUGUACCGCCUGGGGAGUACGGUCGCAAGAUUAAAACUCAAAGGAAUAGACGGGGACCCGCACAAGCGGUGGAGCAUGUGGUUUAAUUCGACGAUACACGAAGAACCUUACCUGGACUUGACAUAGUAAGAACGUUCUAGAGAGAGAUUGGUGUCUGCUUGCAGAAACGUAUAUACAGGUGC